rnacentral:rRNA from 1 species
UACGUAGGGUCCGAGCGUUGUCCGGAAUUAUUGGGCGUAAAGAGUUCGUAGGCGGUUUUCUAAGUUUGGUCUUAAAGACCGGGGCUCAACCCCGGGAAUGGAUCGAAAACUGGGAGACUCGAGGAUGUUAGAGGAAAGUGGAAUUCCAAGUGUAGCGGUGAAAUGCGUAGAUAUUUGGAGGAACACCAGUGGCGAAAGCGACUUUCUGGGACAUUUCUGACGCUGAGGAACGAAAGCUCGGGGAGCAAACAGG